rnacentral:rRNA from 1 species
AUAUCAAUAAGUGGAGGAAAAGAAACUAAUAGGGAUUGCCCUAGUAAUGGUGAGUGAAGCGGCAACAGCUUAAAUUUGAAAUCUGGCUUAGGCUUGAGUUGUAAUUUGCAGAGGAAGCUUCUGGUGCGGCACCGUCCGAGUCCCCUGGAACGGGGCGCCAUAGAGGGUGAGAGCCUUGUAUGGUUGGAUGCCUAGCCUGUGUGAAGCUCCUUCGACGAGUUGAGUAGUUUGGGAAUGCUGCUCUAAAUGGGAGGUAAAUUCCUUCUAAAGCUAAAUAUUGGUUAGAGACCGAUAGCGCACAAGUA